AAAUAGCUCAACUGGUUUUAGAGCUUUUGAUUGAAAAUCAAAUGGUUGCGUGUUCGAUUCAUGUUUUU
rnacentral:tRNA from 1 species